rnacentral:rRNA from 1 species
AUAGAACCAUUGCUGCGGUUAAAAAGCUCGUAGUUGGAUCUGUGCCGGCGACGUGGUCCGCCUUCGCGGGCGGUACUGCGCUCGUCGGCUUUGGGCCGGUCUUCGGACGGUGGCCUUCACUGGCUGCCGCUCGUGGCUGGCUGGUUUACUUUGAGCAAAUCAGAGUGCUCAGCACAGGCGUCUCGCCGGAAUGUUCGUGCAUGGAAUAAUAGAAAAGGAUUUCGGUCCUCUUUUAUUGGUUUUGUGGACUGAGAUAAUGGUUAACAGAGACGGACGGGGGCAUUCGUAUUGCUGCGUGAGAGGUGAAAUUCUUGGACCGCAGCAGGACGGACUACAG